rnacentral:rRNA from 1 species
GAUGAACGCUAGCUACAGGCUUAACACAUGCAAGUCGAGGGGAAACGAUAGAGAAAGCUUGCUUUUUCUAGGCGUCGACCGGCGCACGGGUGAGUAACGCGUAUCCAACCUGCCCAUCACUUGGGGAUAACCUUGCGAAAGUAAGACUAAUACCCAAUGAUGUCUCUAGAAGACAUCUGAAAGGGAUUAAAGAUUUAUCGGUGAUGGAUGGGGAUGCGUCUGAUUAGCUUGUUGGCGGGGUAACGGCCCACCAAGGCGACGAUCAGUAGGGGUUCUGAGAGGAAGGUCCCCCACAUUGGAACUGAGACACGGUCCAAACUCCUACGGGAGGCAGCAGUGAGGAAUAUUGGUCAAUGGGCGAGAGCCUGAACCAGCCAAGUAGCGUGCAGGAUGACGGCCCUAUGGGUUGUAAACUGCUUUUAUAAGGGAAUAAAGUGAGCCUCGUGAGGCUUUUUGCAUGUACCUUAUGAAUAAGGACCGGCUAAUUCCGUGCCAGCAGCCGCCGCCG